rnacentral:rRNA from 1 species
CAAAUUUWAAAUCUACCUGGUUUYCAGGUCGAGUUGUAAUUUGAAGAUACGUUUUUGACGUUCCGGGUUGAACUAAAUCCUUUGGGAUAAGGUAUCAUGGAGGGUGAGAAUCCCGUAUAUACCAACCRYAGGGAUGUUAUUUAAUACGUUUCUAAGARUCGAGUUGUUUGGGAAUGCAGCUCUAAAUGGGUGGUAAAUUUCACCUAAUGCUAAAUAUAAGCGAGAGACCGAUAGCGAACAAGUACAGUGAUGGAAAGAUGAAAAGAACUUUGAAAAGAGAGUUAAAUAGUACGUGAAAUUGUUGAAAGGGAAACGAUUGAAGUCAGUCAUGCCRGUGGGAAUCAACUUAGAGGAAACUCUGAGUGCACUUCUUCGCUUGGCAGGUCAACGUCGAUUUUGGAUGUCAUAAAAUGAUUGGGGGAAGGKAGCUCCUUCGGGAGUGUUAUAGCCCUUGGUAGAUGUGAUGUCUGGGAUCGAGGAUUGCAAUGGAUACCCUUUGGGGCUAGCCGCCUGAUCUCUAAUYGGUAUUGGGUUACGGAUAGCAUGCUGACCGUGAUCUAAUUAUUGGUUAAAAGGUUAG